CUCUUUCCUCUGUUUUCACUGUGCCCUCCAUCUCUUUGCUUAACUCUCUGUCUUGAGGACAUUGUUGAGUGAUAACCUUUGCACAACAACUCCAUCUCUCCACCUACCCGUCCAUUUUACAGAGCUGUUGGAGAAGAGAACAGAAUUGUUUGAGGUGAAGCAGCACAUACCCAAAAGACACUCCUCACCAACCACACCUGUGUUUCUGGAUCAUAUGGAAGCUAAAGCCAAGAGCGGGGCACAGGUCCCCAAGCCAUCCACUAAAGUAGGGAAGACAGAGAAUAAGGAGGCAUCUCAACCUAAAAAGGUUGACCCCACUCCAGUAGAGCCUCUAACCCCUGCAGUACCUGUAGAAGAGCUUCCAGUGGAGGAUGUAGCAGCUGAACCAGAGGGGGCAUCAGAGAGUGGAGUGGCAACAGAGCCCAGCACAGACUCCCUGGAAAGCCUGAAGCCUUUCCUCAUCGGUGGUGCCAUUAUUGCUGCUGGUGCCAUCCUGUUGGGGGCACUGUUGUUGGCACGGAGAAAUUAAUCACCAUAACUCAUUGAACGCUGUCAGUUGAUGGGUUGACUGGUCACUUGUUAAAUGGGUCAUAGACUAUCAUGCAGCUCGUAGAUAUGGGGAGUGGGCAGCCACUGUGUUUCUUAAUUUUAAUUUCAGUCUGACUUCACUUAUAGAGAAAAUAAACAUCAGUUAAACAUUUUAAUAACACAUUUGGGCUCUUGCUAGAAUACUUAUGUUAUCAAUUGCUCCACCCGUCCAAUUCCACCUGUUUAGAUCUACGUGCAAAUUAACUCAAACAGUUUCUUUGGACACAUAAAUAUACAGUUCCUAACUACCCUAUUAUUAACAUUUGGGUAUUUCUGGGUCUACUAAUGCAGUUCAAAUUAAAAGUAUUGAUUUGAAAAAUGUAAUAUAAAGUAGAAAGCAGGCAUACUCUUGUAAACAAGACAGUGCCUGAUAGUGUGUUAUGGGAUAUUUUUAUGCUCUUAUCACUUCUGCUGUGUUUCAUAUUAGAAAAUACAUUUUCCCUGCAGAUCCGAUGCAUUUUGAAACAACUGUUUCAGACCAGAAAAUAUUGUUAUAUAAAUUCAGGGGAUAUUGCAUUUUUAUGGCAAGUCUGAGUAGAUUAAGUCAGAUUGGCAAAGGAAGUAAUCUAGACAAGUAUGUGAUAUACUUGCAUUUCAGUCUCGAUUGAGGCUGAGUUAAUAACAUUUAUUCUCUUUAGUCUCCUCAAUCAAUGUGUACAGUGCGAUUAUAGUCAAGUCAUACCUGGCAGCCUGCCAGUGUUUAUGGCAGUGGUAAUUCAAAUGGAUUAUAAAACAAAAGAAUACACUAAAUGGCCAGACCUAUUACCAAAAAUAUAUUUCACUGUGUGUUAACACUGUGAUCCCCUGGUGUGUCCAUUGCUAAACUGUACCUCUCCCAUGCUUGCAUACUGUUGUUUCUCUGACUGGAAUAAUGGUAGAGCCUAUAUGUGUUAGUAAUACCUACAUAAUACAGUAACAGUGUAAGUGAAACUGCAGCUAUAGUAAUUGUGCACAAACUCAGAAUGAAUGUAUAAAAUACCAAUGGAUGUAGGAGCUUGUCCAGUUAGGCUUAAUAUAUAGACAAAUAUAUUGCAUCCACCAUCAACCUCCAGGCCAGUCUUGAAAGUAUGACUAUUUAUAAUUAUUAAUGUUGUUAUAUACUUAUAUUUUUUUCUCAGUAUGGUAAACCUAUAAUUAAUGUAAAAAGCAUGUAUUAUUGACUGGAGUAAAGGCAAAUCAGGUUUUAUUUAGUAGAUUAAAUUAUACUUCAACCUAUUUUGAUUCCCUUUUGAAAAUAGAGCAGCUCCCCUACCCUAUUUUCUAUAGGCCUACAAGAUUUUUAACACAAACAUCUAGCUUGAACAUUAGCAUGUAGCUCACCAGAACAGACACCUAGUCUCUAGACACAUGUUCAAAUAGCCAUGACACAUUUUCAAGUAGCCUAGAUGUCUCCAAUACGAUAACAGUCAUGUCACUACAACAGAGUACUAACUGAAAUCUAUCACUUAGUUUUCUUUUUCAAAGAGCGUAUAAAUGCAAUAAUUCCUGUAGAACUCUACAUUUUAACACAUGUUCUGUAUUAUAUAAAAAUAAUGGUACUGGUGGUGAAAUGCUGAUGCUAUUUUAAAUGUAGAAUGAGAACCAGAAGAAAUGAUGUUGACGAUAGAUGAUUGCAAUUGGGAUUAAAGCUGUUGUUUUAUUUAUAUUCCAGCUCCCUAGUACGUAUUUUCCCUCUUGCACACAUCCUCCCCAGACCCCAAAGCUCUUUGUGUAAAUCCAAAUUGUUAUCUUGUGACUUCACCUGAUCUUUAUUAAAGGCAAUGAACCAGCUUG